rnacentral:tRNA from 1 species
GGAUUGUAGCUCAAUGAUAGAGCGCUUGCCUCGCACGCAUGAGGCUCUGGGUUCAAUCCUCAGCACCA